rnacentral:rRNA from 1 species
UAGGGAAUCUUCGGCAAUGGACGGAAGUCUGACCGAGCAACGCCGCGUGAGUGAAGAAGGUUUUCGGAUCGUAAAGCUCUGUUGUAGAGAAGAACGUUGGUAGGAGUGGAAAAUCUACCAAGUGACGGUAACUAACCAGAAAGGGACGGCUAACUACGUGCCAGCAGCCGCGGUAAUACGUAGGUCCCGAGCGUUGUCCGGAUUUAUUGGGCGUAAAGCGAGCGCAGGCGGUUCUUUAAGUCUGAAGUUAAAGGCAGUGGCUUAACCAUUGUACGCUUUGGAAACUGGAGGACUUGAGUGCAGAAGGGGAGAGUGGAAUUCCAUGUGUAGCGGUGAAAUGCGUAGAUAUAUGGAGGAACACCGGUGGCGAAAGCGGCUCUCUGGUCUGUAACUGACGCUGAGGCUCGAAAACGUGGGGAGCAAACAGG